GGAGUUAGCCGGUGCUUCUUCUGCGAGUAACGUCACAGAUGUAAGGUAUUAACUUACACCCUUUCCUCCUCGCUGAAAGUGCUUUACAACCCGAAGGCCUUCUUCACACACGCGGCAUGGCUGCAUCAGGGUUUCCCCCAUUGUGCAAUAUUCCCCACUGCUGCCUCCCGUAGGAGUCUGGGCCGUGUCUCAGUCCCAGUGUGGCUGAUCAUCCUCUCAGACCAGCUAGGGAUCGUCGCCUAGGUGAGCCUUUACCUCACCUACUAGCUAAUCCCACCUGGGCUUAUCCAUCAGCGCAAGGCCCGAAGGUCCCCUGCUUUCCCCCGUAGGGCGUAUGCGGUAUUAGCAGUCGUUUCCAACUGUUAUCCCCACAAAUGGGCAAAUUCCCAGGCAUUACUCACCCGUCCGCCGCUCGUCAUCUUCAAAAGCAAGCUUUGAAAUGUUACCGCUCGACUUGCAUGUGUUAGGCCUGCCGCCAGCGUUCAAUCUGAACCAGAUCAAAUUCUGA
rnacentral:rRNA from 1 species